rnacentral:rRNA from 1 species
GACGAACCGAGCGAACGUUAUUCGGAAUCACUGGGCUUAAAGGGCGCGUAGGCGGGCCAUCAAGUCAGGGGUGAAAGCCCCCAGCUCAACUGGGGAAGUGCCUCUGAUACUGGUGGUCUCGAGGGAGGUAGGGGCGUGCGGAACUUCCGGUGGAGCGGUGAAAUGCGUAGAUAUCAGGAGGAACACCGGUGGCGAAGGCGGGUCUCUGGGCCGAUACUGACGCUGAGGAGCGAAAGCGUGGGGAGCGAACAGG